rnacentral:rRNA from 1 species
AAGGCGUAACGAUUUGGGCACUGUCUCAACAACAGACUCGGUGAAAUUGUAAUUCCGGUGAAGAUGCCGGAUACCUGCGACCGGACGGAAAGACCCCAUGGAGCUUUACUGUAGCUUGACAUUGGGUCUUGGUACUACAUGUACAGGAUAGGUGGGAGGCUUUGAAACCAGGACGCCAGUUUUGGCGGAGCCAUCCUUGGGAUACCACC